rnacentral:rRNA from 1 species
UUUGCCAUAGGGGAAAGCUUGACAGGGUUACUUUGAAGGAUCUCCGUUAAGGAGAUCUUUUUGCUCCUUUAAAAAUGCUGCAGGAUAAGGGGUGGGCAAGUCUGGUGUCCGCCCCCCCGGUUAUUCCAGCCCCCCGCGUGGUCGGGACGUUUUUUGGACCUAAAGCAUUCGUUGCCGGUUCUUCAAGUUCUCCGUUAAAUCCACCUGCUUAACAGAUGGGAUGCGGAAGAUACUAUAGAGCUAGGAGGCGGGAGAGGCAAGCGGUACUCGAUGGGUAGGGGUAAAAUCCGUUGAUCCAUUGAAGACCACCAGUGGCGAAGGCGGCUUGCCAGAACGCGCUCGACGGUGAGGGAUGAAAGCUGGGGGAGCAAACCGGAUUAGAUACCCGGGUAGUCCCAGCGGUAAACGAUGCAGACUCGGUGAUGAAUGGGCUUAUUGGUAAUUCAGUGCC